AACAAAUGGAGCAUCACAAAGUUUCUAAAACAGGAGUUCUGAACCAGAGGAGAAUUCCCUCCUGGGAUGAAUUUCACAGUUUCAGGCGGAUGAAUGCAAUUAAGAAGCUGGGAAGCGAAAGCUGUGGAUAAUGUGAGGCACAAAAUACAGUAGAGCUGGUAGACUGGGAGAGAAUACAUGGAAUGGAACAGUACAGAAUCUGAACUGGAGACCAUAAAUUACCAAGGCCCAGAGGAAAAAUAUUUAAAAUUAUUCCGAAAGUAAUUUUAAGAUACUAUUAGAAUAAUUUGCAGAAGACCAAUUACUUUGUAAGUAAUAUAACCUAA